AGUGAACGCUGGCGGUAGGCCUAACACAUGCCAGUCGAACGGCAGCACAGUAAGAGCUUGCUCUUACGGGUGGCGAGUGGCGGACGGGUGAGGAAUACAUCGGAAUCUACUUUUUCGUGGGGGAUAACGUAGGGAAACUUACGCUAAUACCGCAUACGACCUACGGGUGAAAGCAGGGGGUCUUCGGACCUUGCGCGAUUGAAUGAGCCGAUGUCGGAUUAGCUAGUUGGCGGGGUAAAGGCCCACCAAGGCGACGAUCCGUAGCUGGUCUGAGAGGAUGAUCAGCCACACUGGAACUGAGACACGGUCCAGACUCCUAUGGGAGGCAGCAGUGGGGAAUAUUGGACAAUGGGCGCAAGCCUGAUCCAGCCAUACCGCGUGGGUGAAGAAGGCCUUCGGGUUGUAAAGCCCUUUUGUUGGGAAAGAAAAGCAGCAGGUUAAUACCCCGCUGUUCUGACGGUACCCAAAGAAUAAGCACCGGCUAACUUCGUG
rnacentral:rRNA from 1 species